rnacentral:rRNA from 1 species
GUGCCAGCAGCCGCGGUAAUACAGAGGGUGCGAGCGUUAAUCGGAUUUACUGGGCGUAAAGCGUGCGUAGGCGGCUUUUUAAGUCGGAUGUGAAAUCCCCGAGCUUCACUUGGGAAUUGCAUCAGAUACUGGGAAGCUAGAGUAUGGGAGAGGAUGGUAGAAUUCCAGGUGUAGCGGUGAAAUGCGUAGAAAUCGUGGAGGAAUACCCGAUGGCGAGAGGCAGCCAUCUGGCCUAAUACUGACGCUGAGGUACGAAAGCAUGGGGAGCAAACAGGAUUAGAUACCCUGGUACUCC